AAAGACCUUAUGCUUUGAGAGCGGCCGAUGUCUGAUUAGCUAGUUGGUGAGGUAAUGGCUUACCAAGGCGACGAUCAGUAGUUGGUCUGAGAGGACGACCAGCCACACUGGGACUGAGACACGGCCCAGACUCCUACGGGAGGCAGCAGUGGGGAAUUUUGGACAAUGGGCGAAAGCCUGAUCCAGCAAUGCCGCGUGAGUGAAGAAGGCCUUCGGGUUGUAAAGCUCUUUCAGUCGAGAAGAAAAGGUUAUGACUAAUAAUCGUAAUCAAUGACGGUAUCGACAGAAGAAGCACCGGCUAACUACGUGCCAGCAGCCGCGGUAAUACGUAGGGUGCGAGCGUUAAUCGGAAUUACUGGGCGUAAAGGGUGCGCAGGCGGUUUUGUAAGUCAGAUGUGAAAUCCCCGGGCUUAACCUGGGAAUU
rnacentral:rRNA from 1 species